AACAAUAAUAACCCAAUUUCAGCCGACAACUAACAACCAACAACAUCCCAAAAUAUGUUUCCGACCUGGCCCACUCUUUCUUUUGUUCUUCAUAGCAACGAUAAACAAAACAAUGCGUAUACGUACAGCUUCAGUAAUUCGCGACAACGAUAGCAAAAACAACGAUUUCAACAAUGGUAAAACACUAAUCCAGCAAGCCCCUCUAAGUUGUUAAAAUUUUGUAGACAAAUGCGCGUUUGGCAUGAGAGGUUGUACUGGAGAAUCUUCCUAUAAAAUUCCUCAAAUAUUCAAUCCUUAUCCUCUUCUCAAUUUCAAAAUUCAAAUUUGUACUGAAGUAGUACAAAUCAACCUCAUCAAUCUCCUCAAAUUUGUUUCCCCCUCAAAUUUCCCCCAAAAUCAAGAAUGUUCUUGAAUGGAACAGUCGAUGCAAUCCUAUUCGUCAAUGCUACGAACUAGGAUGGAACCCCUCUCAUCAUCCUCCAUCAUCGAGAUUCAUCUUUAGCCAUUUGUUUCAAAGUUUUCCCUAUUAAAAGUCCCAAAAUUUCCCCUGAAUUUUGGUUGUUCCCACAUUGGUGGGACUUCAUAGGUGUGACCCUCCAUUCCUUCUAUAAAAGUCUCACUGUAGAGAUGAAUUUGCAAGCCUUAGAAGGUUGGAAAAAAGCAUUUUGAGCAUAAUGACUUGAAAAUUAUUUUUGAGCAAGAGAAUUUUCAUUAGAAGUUCUGUUAGUUAAAGUUUAGUCAGGUCGAUUUUGAAUUCUCGAUAAUGGUCAAGAUUCUGAUGAUAGCCCAUAGUUCCGUUUUGCUCCCCCCAGAAAAGGUAAACACUUUCUAUUUUAGUUUGUUAUAGUCUUUCUUCUUCAAAUACUUGUUCGUAGUUUCAUAAUAAUGUUGUUGGGAUUGUUUAUUGCAGAAGCCUUGAAGGCUUAGGAUUUUUGUGUGGCAAUAAUUGUGUUUUGUCGUUUCUUAUGUUGGAUAAAUAUUAUGGCCGUGUUUAACUCACUGUUUUGGUUGUAUGUUUGAGAAUUUAUGGCUUUAGUUUGACUUUGCUUAUAAGAGAGUUGUUGUGCCUGUUAAUCGCAAAAUUAUCAUCAUAUGAUUAGUUUUAGUAUUAUCAUCAUUUCUUUCGAUUUCAAAUUCUCAUUUUAGCCUAUUAUGUUGCCUUUAGUUUUCUUUGAUUUAAAUGCUAUUUGAUUUACUAUUUCUAUAUCGAUUAAAUAUAUGUUGGCCUUAGAUUUAUCACUGAACACUCUAUCUAAUUAAAAGCCCCCCUUAGUCGUCGUCUCUUCGAUCCGAUUGUUUAAGUUAAGGUUACAUUCAUCGAAUUUUUAGUAUCACUAUCCUUGUUCCACCCCUAUUAUGUCCAUCUUGAUAGUUAUUUGGACUAUUUUACUUUCUUUGAAUAUGUUAGAACUUCUCUUGGUUUAUCUUGAUUUGCAAUAUCGAUAAAAGUAAGUAGAGUAAGUUCAUGAACGAACGAUUCAUUUGAGGAACCCUUUAUGAUCCUUUUAUGCAUAAAUUUCUUCGUGAACUAUUCAGGGAGAGGAGUAGGGUGAUUUAACAUUGACAAAAACCAAUACGUAUUUCGUUCAAGGUCAAAUCUUUAUUUCUAGGUGAAUUUGUUUAAUUUCGCAUGAUAUCAUUUGGAAUAAUAUGUUACCUUUAUGGAUGUCCAGCUUUUCUCUUGUGUUUGCUUGCCAUGAUUGUAUUAUUCUUAAUUACUAGUGAUAAUAGCUACGCUUUGCGCGGUUAGAAAUAACAUUAAUAAAUUUAUAUUAAUAAUAGAUAUUGUCGUAGAUUAUUAUAAAGAAAAUUAUUUGUUUUUACAGAAAGGAUUAAUGAGGGUCAACAAUUAAUUAGCAAUGCAAUAAUUCAAUGAGUAAUAUACAAUUAAAGCCACUGAGAGUUACAAAUGUGGAAGAUGAAGGAACUAUUUUCUAACACCCUCGUCAUCUUCAGUACUUGUUUUGCAGCAUAUCGUUGUUCCUUCAUAUCCUUGUGGACUGUUUAUUCAUCACUGGAAAGAACAAAAAACUCACCUUUAUAAACUUAGAUUCCUCCUGCUCAUUCCACCUAGGAGCAUAUAUUUUCAAGGUAGAAUAAUAGUAUAUCAACUUGCAUAGAUCUAUUAUGUAAUUCUUUUUAAUCCCGUUGUGUCGUUUGUAUGUGUUAUUAUAUAACAUGCAACUUGCUUUAUUACAGUACAGAGACUCCAAUUAACGACUUAUGUUCGUUCACUGUCAUCUCUUAAAUUUUGAAAGGCUGGGUUAUUAUUCGGUGCUAAUACUUUAUUUGUUCAGUUGAUAUUUUCCAGUUAUCUAUUAUGUUUACUUGUUGAAAGAGCCUCUCUACCUUUGAGGUAGAGGCAUGGUCUGCGUAUACUUUACCCGCCCC
rnacentral:lncRNA from 1 species